ensembl:snRNA U5 U5 spliceosomal RNA
GUACUCUGCUUUCUCUUCAGUUUGUAUAAAUCUUUUGCCUUUUACUAAAGAUUUCUAUAGAGACGAGCAUUCAUGAGUUUGUACCCAAUUUUUUGAGGCUUUGCUUUGGGGAGGCU